UCUCCCGGUGCAGCAGCAACAGCUGGGGUGUUGACCCCGGCACCAAAUAGGUCUGUAAACUUUGAACAUUUAGCAGCUUCCCCCUCCAGAGAGUCGCAGUUUUUCAGCGCCACCUGGGCGUUUCUUACGCUUAUCCAUUUUCAGCUCCGUCACGACUCCGGCCCAUGCCAUGAGGUCCCCCCCACCCUAGUUUCUGUUGUGAUUGACGGCACUGUCAGGGCUCUCUGAGCCUGUCAGCCCAUGAUUGAUUGACAAUGACAAACAUAGACCAAUAAUAUGUGUCGAGGCUGGCCACACACUGCUAGCCCCAAUUUAGAGAGAGAGUAAAAGACAAAACAUAGCGGACCGGACCGGCCCACAUUGGGUAAACGGCCCGCCGGGACGAUGCCCUGUAUGCCAGAUGGCCAGUCCACCCCUGCUCGGGGGGCAGAGGAGGUAGAGGAGGACGGGGCUCCAGAGACUUCACUGUCAGGGGCAGGAGAUGAUGAGGAGCUUGAGGAGGCAGCAGCAGGGCCAUCGCACAAUACAGUGGCCUCAUUAGAGAGGUCAUUCUCUGCACUGCGCCGCUUGAAGAAGACCUGGCUGCGCAACACCGUCGUACAGAGAAGACUCACUCACCUGGCCCUUCUACAUAUGCACCAGGAUAUUCUGGAUACACUGGACGUCCCUGCUCUGAUGACGGAAUUCAUCAGCACCACCCCAGAACGAAAGACCACCUUUGGAGUCCUACCAUCUACUUAAGUUCUUUGAAUGGGCGCAAGAGGAGGAUGGUUUGUAGGUCACCACUGUGUGCGUGCUUGCAUGCGUGCGUUUGCUUCGGAGUUCGGAGGAAGGAGUUUUUUCUUAACGUUAAGUUUGUUAAAACUAUCAAAUCAGUUAGCCUCAUCUAGGCUAUGUUACUUGUUUAUAACACUGUCUAAUGCAUAAUAUCAGUACCUUGUGCGUGUAAUUAAAUAUUUGAGGUCUUAAUUAAAGACAUAUUCUGAGAAAUACUUGCAUUUCAUGUGUGAUUCAAUGAAGCACAUUCACAAGUUGGCCUUAUGGUGUAUUUCUAAAACCUCUGGUCUAAUACAGGUUGGUUGUGAUGACAUCUCAUUAUAGCCUUUAUCACAUGAUUACUAGGCAUAUAAAUAACCAAGUGUAACACCCUAUCGAGAACGUUAUUUAUUUAUGUUUGACCUUUCGCAUUAUGACGUCAUCGGAACGUUUCUCAGCCCCCCCAACUGUGAAUUACUUCCAGCGUCCCUGUAUAGAUCAUGCAUAUAUCAUCCAAGCAAAAAAAAACAAGUCUUCUUUCUCAAUAACAUAGACCAGCCCAGCAGUGAGUCAGACCCAGAGGACGCUGAUGCUGCUCCUGCUCCUGCUCCUGCCCCUGUCCCUGUCCCUGCCGCUGGCCCUUCCUGUGUACCUGUCCCUGAGGCUGGCCCUGCCCCAAGACCACAGAGCGGGACGAAGAGGAAGAGAGCCAGGGUACCAGAGGGGAACACAAAUAUGCAGGGAGCCAUCCUCCAGGCCCUGCAGAGGCAAAAUGCUGUGCCUACCCCUACCCCGCUCUCUGGGAAUGAGCACUUUGUCAUGGGCCUAGUUCCUUCCCUGGAGAGAUUGCCACCUGAAGCACUGGAGUACGUUAAAUUCAAAAUUCGUAAGGUCAUAUUUGACAAUUUCACCCUUAAUUUGGAACCUUUUUAAGCCUAUUAGCUAGUGGUGGUGACAAUCUCUCCAGGGAAAGAACUAGGCUGAUGUCACUGUGCUACUGUUAACUGUUAAUUUGUUAUUGUUCUGUUAUGUUUAUAUCAUAUUGUUCUUAUGUUAUUUUUAUUUUUAUAAUUAUUUUUUAAAUAAAAUAUUUCUCACAA